UGUUGAAAUUUGUUAUUUAGAUAAACAGCAUCCCUUUGCAUUGGAAAAACUACCGAUGACGGCCGAGUUACGGAUCUCUCAUUUUCCCCUUUCUUUAAAUGUCCUCGUGUACGCCCAUGAGAAUGUGGGUGUAUUCACGAGGACUCCCUUUUACCUAUCCUUGCUGGUCGUGGAUUCAACUUUGCUGUGGAUGGAGCCCUUUUGGAUGCCUGGCUGUGGAUUUCCCAGGCAUAAAGGAACGAAAACCGAGCCACGGUCACUACUGUAGAGUACCUGACCCGGAAUAAAGGUGCUAGCGCCCGACGGACUCAGCAAAAUCUUGCCCGGCACGAAUCGAGGACCAGUUUUACUACCAAAUACUUGUCCAGAAGAUGGGUCCUGUGAAACCUUCAACUGAUUUCGAGGUUCCAGUAUCAAUGACUUGGCCAGGCACAAACUGCUCAAUUUUGCUGGGACCAGUCCUCACCGCUUGGCCAGGGAUAAAGAUGCUGCCGAGUGCAGAUUCUAUUGAUUUUCCAGGUAUGAAUUUCGGGGUGUCGUCCAUUUCCAUCAGCUGGCCAGGUACCACUUUGACGUCUUCAGCGUUGGCGGUUCCAACCAUCAACUCGUCAUGGCCUUGCUCGGCAUUGCAGUGAACGUGCUGUUGUCGAUGGGCAGGCCGUCGCUCACUCCCGUGCGGAAGAAAACUUCCUCUUCUUUGGCGGCCAACAGCAAUUGGUUGUUUUGGGUCGCGUCAAUUUUGCACGGGACGAAUCUCUCCUCCGCUAAGAUUCCCGCAACGAAUUGCGUUCCCUCUUUCGUUAACAUCGUCUCACCCGGAACGAAUCGCUUUUGGCCAUCCUCAAGGACCAUUUGACGACCCGGGCAAAAUCGUGUUCGUCCAUCCUUUGUCUUGUAACUUUGGCCAGCAAGAAACAGUGGGCCGUCAGCUGUUUCUACAUUUUCACCCAUCGUAAAUUCUGGCGUGCCGUUGGGACCGUCCAUCAAGACCUGUCCAGCUGAAAAUUGGCCGUCCAUGUCCACCUGUCCAGCAACGAAACGAGCGCCUUGCGGAGUAUCAAAAGUAACGCCGCUAAUGAACAUUGGGCCGUUAACUGUUUGAAAUAUCUGUCCAACGUGGAAUUUGUUAUCUACAGACGAAGUUUGUCCAGCGACGAAUUUCAAUCCUUCUCCGUCCGUUUGAAUCGUCCUUCCGGGUAAAAAUUUCGGACCAAAAAGUGUCUGGACGGCUUGACCAUUUACGAAUUGGGACAACUUGCCGUCUCUCAUAAUUUGCCCAGCAGAAAAUUUACCAUCAAAUGUGUAGCCUGGAAGAAAUCCGACUCCCUCUGGAUUUUGAACGAUACAUCCGGGCUGGAAAUUUUCUCCUACCAUCUUUCCCGGCACGAAUCCGGUGUUGGACUGCUGGCCCACCACGAAACGCUCUUCAUUUUCACCAACCGGCACCAUCAUACCUCCUACAGCUCGGAUUUUAUCUUCGUUCUUCACCACGGGCUGAGUGGCGACGAAACGGACCCCGUCCUGCUCGCUGCGUACCAUCCAUCCCUUUCUGCCGCGUUCCAGCGCUGUCAUAACGGUUCCCACUUCGUGAAUGAAAGGUAGGAACAUCAGCGAUUCGACGUCGCUGAAAAGAUCUUUCAACUGGCUGGUGGACGACGAAUCUUUCGUGGCCGUGAUCUUGUCCAGCUCUUGUACGAAAUUGGCUGGAAGUUUUCCCUUAAACGGUCGGAUGACUUCAUCGAAGACUGGCACAGCUUCAAACCCGACAGACUCUUCGUUCAAAAUAGGAACUUGAUUCGAGAGGAUGAGACCAGGUGACAUAGUGUUAGCAGGCAGCUGUACGGGCUGGAAAUUCCGGACUGGCAAAUCGGGCAGGUCUUCUUCUUUAAUAGCUGGCAGAGAUUCAAAGUCCCAGUUGUCGAUUUUCGGAUACAGAAGCUCACGCCAGUCGGUGCCAAUAGUCAGCAAAUUGGCCGCACUGCGGUGGUAUGCCGUGAUUUUGUCCAUCCGGUCGGUCCAGUCUGCAAUAAUCACUUGCUCUUGUUCGGAUUCUUCCGGCGGGGGUGACGCAGUUGGCGACAAGACGCUAUUCUUUUUCGGAUCGGAUAUUUUUCGCUUCUUGUACUGUCGAAUUUGUCGCUGCUUCGCCAGGAUUUCGUCGUCUUGACCGCCUCCCUCAAGCAGUGGCGGCAUGUCGUUGGGAACGGGCAGAGUCAUGGGUCGUAGAUUCAGGGUCAAACUGGGCCCGUCUUUGAGCCGAAUGAGGACGCUGGAUCCAUCUUUGGCUAGGAGAAGGUUCUCAAUCUCACCGCGACGGACGGCCGCUUCCAUGUCGGCCGGCAGGACUAAAUUCAAGUGAUUUUCAUCCAAUUGGUAGACGAAUCGCUGGCCCGGCUGGAAAGUCAAAGUGUCCAGCCGACUGCCCAUUCUGUCCAGUAUGGAUUUGAGUUGCUUGAGAUUGGCAUCUUUAGCUCCGAUGAUGGGGUAAAGGUAUUUGUAUGACUCGUUGAUUUGAUGUUUGGCCGUGAUGCGGCACUUCUCCGAUAGCCCGUUGUUUCCCGCGGCUGUCUGCUGGUAGUGAUGUUGGUCGUCGGCGUGACUCGUUAUGUGACAUUUAACGGCUUUAGAGAUGCGAGCAAAUUCAAUCAAAGGAACGUACGUGUGGCGGAGUUCCUCUUCAGAGCUGCCAACAGAUUUACCCAUCAGUCGACAUAUCCGGCGAGCCUCGACGGGCGAAAUGGGCGGCAACAGGGGGAAAUAGUUGGGUUUGGGCAGGUUGCGGCUGUUGCCCGUCACUCGACAAAAUGUAGGCAACAUGUUUGGACUUUUAAAAGGAGACCGGGUGAGAAUAUUAUAAUCAGUUGUCGACAACGAAACACGCACAGAGCACGCAACGGAGACCAGCAGCAGCUGCAGCUGCUUGAAAUUUCGAAUUAUCCUACCAGCCCCCCCAAAAAAAACACUCGCGAGCUGCACAAAUGUGUUCGAUUAUUCGUAAUCGUAGUGAUUAAGAUGUCUGGCGGCUAUACGCGGCCGGUUUUUUUUUUUUUUCACUGAAAAAAUGAAUUCCAAAUAAAUCUACGCACUCUAUGUAAGUGAUCCUUUUGACGGCUAAACAGCAUAGCGUCUACCGAAUGUUGCCAUUUUAUGCGGCCGUUCGUCUUUGGGCGCUCUUCUCCUACAAAGUAGUGCGUUGAUCUCUGUCGUGUUAAGCCGAGGACAGACCCCAAAGGAGUAAAAAGACUGACUGACUGGGGUUUCUGCUGCUGGGAUCCUCUUAUAAAUAGCGGAGCCCAACCUUCUAAUAGGAAGGAGGAGUGAGGUGGGGGGGGGGUGAGGUGGGAAGUGGGAGAGGAAAUAGCGCAACAACAGGGAGCGACAGUGGCGGCAAGGACAAGAAAAAGUUGUGUCUGGCACUAUGCAGCACGUCCGUAUAUGAUCGUAUGGGGGGGGGGAAUGACAGUAACGCCGGGGAGCACGGAUGACUGCACUUUUUGAUUUCCACCUGAAGCCAAAAAGCCAAUCCCGGAAUCCCGCGACAAACCCCGCGCCGCGACGAACAAGUUUUUGCGCUAGUCCUGGCCUUUCAUAACAUCCAAUCAUACUUUCAGGCAAAUUUUUUCGCGUCGCGCUGAUGAUGGAGAUUUCGUGGAAAUGAAAUACACUAAUUAAGUUUUGGGUUGCUCUCCGGCGUCCCUGAGUGAAACUGGGCGACUUGCCCGCUAGAUCGUUUCAAGGAUCCAAUCGACAAGUGCAACAGCAACAACAACAUCCGCAGAACAAGAAAAAGCAAUGCAAAAAUCAAGAGGAGACAACACAGAGGAAAAAAGAAGAAGAAAGCCAGACUAGUGUGAUUAUUAGAAGUUGGCCUUGGAAGAUUUUUGAUGAGAUGGGAGGAGGUUUGAAUGGCAUUACCAUAGCCGCAUACCCGGAAUGAUUCCUGCCUGCCUGGCCUGCCCACCUUCAUCAUUCGCAAGCCAACAGACGCAGGAAGGAAGGAGAAAAAGAUCUGAUUUAUUUGAUUUUCUAUUUUCCGCGCGCGCGUCCGUCCUGCUGCUGCUGGCAAGUGGCGAAGAACAUACUGGCAACGUGUCACCUUUUCUUUUCUUUUUGCCUUCUUCCCUCAUUUCCCCCCUUCCCCCAAUCUCUUUCUGGCUUUUGCAUCCGGCCAUCACCUAUCCGCCCACAAAUCCAGUCCGUCCGUCCGUCCAUCCGCCGCCUCGUCAUCCUUCAUUGCUGAAAUUCCUGAAAUGACUUUGCAAAUGUGUCAAUGUCGUCCUUUUGUUUUCUUUUCUGUAUACUACCUCGGCUUCGCUUAUUUAUUUAUUUUUUCUUCUAGAGGAUAGCGGACACGGCGAGUCAUUUUCGUUGCCGUUCGACGGGCUUUCAAUGAAGCGAACAAGAAAAGCUGAAAUGAGAGAGAACGCCGGACUCGAUUGCUGUUGACGAUGUGAGGCGAGACAAGACCAUAGCAAAAAUAACGAAAGAAAAUAAGGAAAAAGGCGAAACAAAACAAAAUCAAGAGAAUUCAAAAUGGACGUGGCAGCGUCCGUCCCGCAUUGGCGCGAAAAUUCCAAACUGUACCACCGACGUUCGCGGCGCCCGGCAUAAACCAUACAGGAUUUAGAGGUGACUCACCGUCCAAACAUUCGCCCGAAGAGAGCAUAGCAGUAGAGUAAAAGUGUUAGUCCGUGACAUGCGGCGCGAUGAGCAAAACCUCUUUCAACAGCAACAACUAGACCAUUGAGUCUCUGCUUGUCUUUUUAUACGCUGAUGUCUGUAUUUUCUCGAGUCGUGCGCAGCAUCAUCAACAUCAGCAACAGCGUCGGAUGAAUCAACAUUAUUCGCUUAAACGACCGGUGCGCAACACGCAGAUGUAUUAGAGUGCGCUGCUGAUGACGGACGCGUAUGUAUCCAUAUUUGGCGGUGUUGAUAUGGAGAGCUUUUGCGGAUGAAUAGAAUAAGAUAUACUUGCUUGGAUAUAUACUACCUGCCUCAUGUAUAGAAAUAGAGCGCGCGCGCGGUCGUCGAGACGACUGCUGGGCCGGGCCCCACAUCAUGCCUGCGCGAUGACGUAAAAAGAUGUGUCGUGAUCUGGUUAUUGGGAUCCUGCCACCGGCUGUUGGGGCCAAAGUACUUUUCUGCAUGCGUCGCCCCUCAUAUUCUAUAUACUGUUUCUUCCUGCUGUUGAUUAUAUGUAUUGAUUGAUUUAUUUAUGAUGAUUUGACCAUCGCGCACCACCAUCAUCUUUUUGCACCGGCAGAUGACCAGCGCCUUUAUAUGUUUCUUUCUCUGUCGAGUUCUUUCUUUCUUUUUUUUUCUUUGUUGUUUCUUCGCUUGUUUUUUGCGAUGACUAAAUUUCUCUUUGCAUUCCACUUUGAUUUGUUUUGCUGCUUCUGCUGUUUCGUUUUCAUCUGCGCUUUUUCUUUUUGGCAGUGUGGAAUGCAGCAUACGUAUAGUAUAGAAGACCCGAGAAAAGAAACAAGUAACUUGCGGCCGUCAUUCCGUCCAUUCCUUUAGCGACCAAGAAGAAGCACGAGGUGCGUAUUCAAAUGUUUCUCUCAUUGGAAUUUCCAUACAAUUUUUUCUUGUUCUUCUCCCCUUUCCCGAUGUUCCUUUUUGCAAUUGCUGUCGUUGGCUUGUUAUUCUCUAUCUCCUUUCCAAUGGCAAGUCCAUCGCCAUGCAGAUCCAUUUUCAGACAGGAAGACGACAAUCAAGUAUAGACCCAAUUCGUUUAAUUGAUUAUAACGAGGAGCUAUAGUACAGAUAUUAUAGACACGCCCCCCGUUCGCCGUAUAGCAUUCCAUUGCCAUUCUAUCCAUUUAAACGUUUUUUUUAUUAAAUUCAACAUUUUGGCGCCAGAGAGGGGGAAGAAGGAGAGAUGGAUGAUGCCGGAAUUCAAGAUGGCCAUCGAUUCUUCCGACUUUUGGCGGUUUGUUUCUUUUUAAAUUUGCAAAAAAGCCAAUGAAACGGGAGGAGAAGAAAGGGCAAAACGUUGCGCUCGUUCAUCACAAUGACAUCAAAAGAGUUUGGCCUGCUGCUGAUGUUGUGUGCUGUUCUCUAUGCGGCGGCUGCUGUAUUAUCCAAUCCGCGCAACUGUCGCGGAUAUGAACCGUUGCACUGGAUGGACGAGGACGACGAAUGCCAUUCCAACCGUUGGCGACGGCGGCAGUUUGCAAAAGAGUGCACCGUACUCUCUGCGCGUAUACCAAGAUACUAGCAGGACAUUUGUACAUAAAACACGGAUGGCGGCGACAAUGAAUUGUUAAUAGAAAUAAAGAAAAAAAAGUUAGACAAAUUUGAUCCAACAACGACCAUUUAAGUUGAAUUCAAAGUCUCAUUUUCUGCUCUGUUGUCAGGCUAUUUUUGCCAGCUCCCGAUGUUUUUUCCUAUGUUUUUGCCUGAACCGAAAUUCCUACAUAAUCCACUGUCCACCAGGUGUAAUAAUAAUAAUAAUAAAGGGAACCUGCCUGCCGCUGCUGCCAGAUGAAAAAUCGUCCAAUCCGCCAACGACUCACGAUGGCGUCUCCGACUCGCCGUCCAGACGAGGCGCGGAUCAUUUAUCCCGCGGAGCGGAGGCGAUGCUGGCCCUUCUCAACAUGAGAACUCGUCCCUUAAGGAUCGUUGACUCAAUUUGGAAAAGGGAUUCUUCUUUUUCAUUUUGUGCUGACGGUUGUCACAAACCAUUUCUUUUCUAGCUGAUAUAUUCGACUUGGUUGUCGUUCAAACUAGCCAGCCGUUGUCAUAAACUCCGUUUUGUUGCCAUAGUGGGCUGCAGGCUUCUGUGUGUUUACAAGCUAUGCAGCCGAGAUGGGCGGUCGAACAACAACAACAAAAAAACACAAACAUCUGGACGAAUAAUAUGAAUGAGGAUUGAGGAGAUAUCAAGUUGGCAAGCCACGGACACGCAUUCUUCAGUCAGUCAGUCAGACAGUUGGGUUGAUUUUUAGUUCCUUAGGUUAAGGGGUGGGCCAUGCAGCUGGGCUAUACAGGAAAAAGACACUCUGCCCAGCAGCAUUGGAAAAUGAAAAAAAGGUGAAAGGGAUGUGGAUAUAAGAAGAAGGAUAAACGCUAUACUCGCGUGUGUAUAUCUGGGCCGCUUUCCUGCUGCAAGUUUGAUCCUAAGGAUUUGUCCACGUUGCCAAGACAUUUCAUCCGAGCAAAGAUAGAGAGAGGCAACCUAUGCAUACUGCUGCAUAAACUGAUCCCCUGUUCUAUCAGCUCCUGUCUGAUACAACGGAUUUUCCAUCCCCUACUACAUAUGAUAUAGCUGGCCAUCGGAUGCAUGACACGUCUAAUGCGACUGAUGGAUCAUACGCCAAUCACGUGAAAAAAAGGCUAAGAAACCUGCUGUGACGGGUCUUGGCCAACACGUCGGUGGUACAGUGACACUAUACAUGAUUGCACAUUGGAAUUUUUAGGCAAUACCUUCAAUAGCAUCCCGUGUUGGACAAUAUCUAUAAUUAUACAAGGACGCGAUACACACACACACACACAUACGCACACACACUGCAGGCACUGUGAGGAGGAGGUGACGGGCAGCAGAUUAGAUUUUUUGGCGAUAGUUUUGGCGUGUGCAAAGUGGGCGGUCAAUUAAGACAGGAAACGUCAAUCAUUCAAACACCCACUUCAUCAUUUGUUGCUGUCGUCAAUCACUUGAGUCGUCGUCGUCCUUGAAUGCAGAUGAUGACUAUACGCAUUGGACAACUUAUUCCUACUAUCGAUCGCUAUAGUUUGCUAACUUGUGCAACUUUUGGAUGAAACUAUAUUAGCUACUUAUUAUUCAGAGAAAUUUAUUUUUCUAAUUCCAGUUAAAGAGCCCUAUUUACGUUCGUCGGUGGUGACAAUCAGGUAAAAAGGAUGUGAUAGACGUCCGAAGGCUCACUGGAGACGGUGACAUUGUUGAAGGUUAUUCUGCUGCGAUUUGUUUUCCAUUUGGCGAAGUAAUAUUGUGAUACAUAUAUAAGGAAAUAGCGGAAACGAUGUGAAAUACUGUUGAGCAGGAAAUAACUUCCGAUCAUGGUUGAUGCAAUCUCUAGUACAUCCAAAAAGGGCACGGAAAAAAUGUUCCUUCUUCUCAACACAUUUGAAUACGUUUUUUUCUCUUCAGGCCUAUAAUAGGUAACAACAAGGAACCGAUGACGCAAUGGGAAAGAAUGGCGUGAUCAUAUAGGAGGUGAUGAAGUAAGAGGGUAAAGCGCUAGGUGGCAGUAGGUAGCCACUUGGCCGGCUCCAUCGUUCACCCAUUUAUUUAUUCUUCGCAGUUCCGUGAAGUUGUAUUCCAUCUAGACGAACAGCUCGAAAGGCACAUCACUGAGAUUUAGUGAUAUUCGUUUAAAUGUACAGUUUAAUAUCUUUCUUCAAUGUCGUCGUCAACUGUGCGCAUAACGGUGGAUACUCUGGUUAUAAUUUAUAACGCAGUUGUUGUAAGAUGCCUUAAGUUUUAAAGAUAAUCAAAAACGAAAGCCAAGUUUCUGCACAAAGAAAUAUGUGCAUUAUUAAUACUAGUAUAGAGGGUACAGUACAACCUAGUAGAAGACAGAGACGUACAGCUCAUCCCUAGCUAGACACAGAGUUAUUUAUAGCGCUGCAAUGAUUCUGAUCAAAUAUAGACAAACAUAAAAGUUAUCUGCACAGUGCACACACGUAUAAGUGUGCACGUCGCAGAGAUCGAAAGGAAAACGGGAUCAUCGCCCUUUUCCUGGUUCUUCGAAAUUUUGCAGAUCUAGCCACAUCACUCAUGACAUGAACACUACUUGAUGGAGGCUGUAAGGUAUACAGUGCCUACUUAAAGAAUGAGAACGCGCGAGAAAAUUUUAUGUAAAAAGGGGAUUUUCUCGGCGCCCACCGGAAUUAAAUUUUCUUGCGCGAAGAGCGAAGAAAUUUUUUUUUACACAAUCAACAGUCAUUAAUUUAUGGCAACAUUAUGGUUAUUAAGGGCAACAGUGGCAACACCGCUUCCAAUCCACGAAUGUUCGUCUGCAAAGGUCUAUAACUCUACUCUCUACAUUCUGGGAUUCUGCAUUGUUAUGUAUUUCUCAAAUGGUGAGGCUAGCUUUAGGCAUAUUGUUGCAAAGUUUCAAUCGUUGAAUUGUUAAAUUGUGGUGAACAUUUGGAAAAUGAGUUCGUUCACGCAAAAGUUUGCUUUUGUUUCUCGGUGGCCUAACCUGACACCUGUGUUACCCACUGCUGUCCCGUUGCCUCCUAUAAACGUGGAUAAAACAGCAAUCAAACGUCAAAUCAAGGAAAUGCUAGAAACAGCCUUGAGUUUGAGUAUUCAGUAUGACUAUUGAAGUUUUUUGCUUAAAACGAGAAAAAUAAACAGUCCACAAGGGGAUUGGCAUUGGUUAUAGUUCCACGUCAGACUUCAGACAACAAAAUAUCAGUGUUAAAGAAAAAUCAGUGAAAAGAUCGUGCAAAAAACGUGUGGAAUCAAUGAAAGGCUUUUUACUUACAGAUUCAAUAGAGAAAAAAAGUCAAGAUUGAUAACUUUUAAUCUUUUCAUUCAACAUCUAUUACAGCCAAUCUCUUACAAUGUGAACAGCAAGAUUACUAAACUGACAUAUUUGAACCGACAUUGACGCGAUGAUCAUUAAAAAAAACUGACGUUCGGGAAGAAAUUAGCUUGGUGAGGAAACUCUUGUCAUGGAGAAAAGUAAUAUGUGGCUGUACUCAAGCCUCCAACAAAUGAACUCUUGCUGCAGUUUUAACCAAGACGGUAUUUGAAAAGCCCCUUUAGAAAGAGCUAUACUAUCUGAGGCAGGUGACUCCCAUGAUACAAUUAUCAAGCAAGUAUAAGGCAAGGACAAUUGUAAUCUGGAACUCGACGAACAGGUCAAUGUUGAGAAAGAAGAAGAUGACUGCUCAAUACAAUUAAAUCAAAGAAGGACAAUACGGAAGCUCUGGUGGAAGCUAUGAAAGAGUUUGGCGUUGAAGUGGAUAUCGAUUUAAUUUAACUAGUGUGAAAUCCCAAAGUAGAGCCAGAAGGUCCAUCUAUCACCGGCACACCAAUAUCCAACGGAACUUACUCCACAAGACUGGCAUAAGUGUAGUGCCUACUGAAAUUAACUUACGAAUCAUAGUUCCGAUGGAUUCACUUUCAAGGAGAAAAGCAGUCGACAGUCCCUAUAGGAGGAGAGACACUGUAACUGCCAUUUGCUUAGCGAUUGAGAUUAGCGAAAGUCGUGGAUACCAUCUGUCAAUCAAUGCGUCUUGUCUACCGACCCGGAUCCCCCGUGUGUAUAUCGAUCCUCUCGAUCCUGGUUGCUUACAUCCGCCAAGUUUUUAUUGACACUAGCCAGCAAAAAGCUCGCAGAAACAUUCGCGAAGAUAACGGAAAAGAGACACCAACACGGGGGAAAGAAACAAAAGGACGCCAGUUCAUCCAUUCUCACGCUCAAAAGAAGUUCCGUUGAUUACUGUACCCCAAGCUUGUCUGCUUAACAUUUAAGAAAAGACGACGAUAGCUCUAAGCCUCUAAUAAGAUAAACAGCAAUGGCUGUGGAAGAACUGAACAAACGCAAAAGAUUCAAAUCGCCGUCACUUUUUUUUAUAAAGCAGGAACACAUUUCUAUUACCUACCUUUUGUUCGUUUCUGUCAUCCAGCAGUUCCUUACUGUCUACUAGUUCGUAAUCCGAAAUACAAAAUCGCUUUACAACUGGUUGUGAGUUUGGGACCGGCGAAUGUAGUUUUUAAAGUAAAAUAAGUCGUCGAAGAACGCUCCGUCAACGUCAAUUUUUAUUUGCCAAUAAACAGUGCCCGAAGAGUUCAUACCGAGACCGCUAUUUCAUGUGCCUUGGCUUGCAGGAUACGAAUUAGCAAUCCACUGUCCAAGCACUGUUGCCCAGGUGCUGAAACGUCUGGUUGCAGACAAGGCACAUGAACCAAUAUCACUGCCUUUUCUUCAGGUGUAGAAGUUGGACUGGUGAAGUUGUGUCGUUGUUGAAGUGCGUUUGAUUUCAGCUGGGGUCGUUACCGACUUCGCAACCAGAUUCUUUGCCAUUAUUUGCAAUCGGAAUAAUCAGUUUAGUCGAGUUUACGGUGCAAAUUUAGCCAUAAGCCACGGUUUGAUUUUGGAAGUGAUGAAGUAUUUCUAAGCCAUUCGACCAAGCUUAAUCGAAAGUGAACAAUUCUAAGGCAUCAUGCCGAAGAUCUUUUGCCUUUCUCAUCCACGUGAUCGCUGCCGUGUCAUGAAGAUGCUUCUUUGAGAGGGUCUCUACUAUAUUGUAACUUGCAAGACAAAAAAGUGAUGAGAACAGGAAAUCUGAAUUGCUUAUAAUGUACUUUUAAGAUAAAUCAAUUAGAGUUCAACCUGCAGACGGGCCGGCCAGUUUGCAUGU